rnacentral:pre_miRNA from 1 species
CUACUACUCCCUCCGUCCGAAAAUACUUGUCAUUGAAAUGGAUGUAUCUAGAUGUUUUAGUUCUAGACACAUCCAUUUUGAUGACAAGUAAUUCCGGACGGAGGGAGUAUUAU